rnacentral:lncRNA from 13 species
GUGCAAGGGAGCCAAUUGGUCCUAGGCUCAAUGCUGUCAUGACACAGUGUGUGGGAAGGGCCUAUGCAUUUUACCGUAAGUCUGUUAUCUGAGAGGACUCAGCUGGAGUGUGUUGAUAGUUAGGACAGCUACCGUAUUUUAAUGUGCAAGUUCAUGUAAAAACAUUUGAACCAGAUGGACUUUGAAAUAGUGUUUUUUAUUUUAUUAUGAUUCCCUAAAAAAAAGUAAGUAUUUGGAGUUAAUAUUUAUUUUACCUUUGUUUUAAAAAUCACAAUGCACAUAGCCUCCAGUUUUCUUUGCUUUUAUUUCAACCCACAACACAUUCAAAUGCUUUGAGUCAGAGAGUGGUUGGGUAAAACAUUUAAAUAGUAUCUAUGUAUAAUAAAUAUGAAUUUAAUAUCAUUCAUAGUUUCAAUCGUCAUGUUAGUGGAAUCCUCAGUCCAACAUGACGCUGUGAUCCGGCUUGUACCAUCAGAGUCCAGGAUGGAGGACAUGGUCCUGAUGUGAAUAGACAGAUAUAAUAAAAGAAAGUGGAGGAGAAGGUUCAGGUCAUAUACAGUAUGUGUGUGGUAGUAAAGGGGCCAAUAGAUGAGAGAGGAGGGGUGUCAAUGUAAGUUUUUGUAGCAGGAAGGUUACACAUGGUCAGCAAACCUCAAUGGACUCAUAGACUGUGGAUGGAAAUAAUGGUGGUGUUUUAUUGUUGUUUUUCAUUAGUAUCUUUUUAUGAAUGCAAUGCACUAAGUGUCAAGAAUGUAGAAAGAAAUAUACUGUGUGGUGGUCAAAGGCAUGAGAAUUCCUUGCCGGCUUGGAUGUCAGUCAGGCUUGGGUGUUUUUCUCCAGUGUUUCUUCCAUGCUACUCUAACUUAUGUGCUCUCUGUGUAUGACAGGAAGUCUUGUAUUUUCCUGAAGGUCUUUUCUCUUUGAAUAAACUCUAAAGUAAUUUAAAGAUUUACUGUAGUCUUUUGUCUUGUCCCCUCUCUGACUGACUGAAUUCUUGAAGUGGAGAGUGUGAGAAUGUCAUCAUUAUCCAAUAGUAUGUCCCUGAGGGUAAGAAAUAUUUUCUACAACAAAUACAGAGCAGAGCAGACACUGAAUAUCCCUUUGAGCAUGGUGAAGUUAUUAAUUACACUUUGGAUGGUGUAUCAAUACACCCAGUCACUACAAAGAUAGAGGCGUCCUUCCUAACUCAGUUGACAGAGAGGAAGGAAACCACUCAGGGAUUUCACCAUUUGGCCAAUGGUGACUUUAAAACAGUUAUAGAGUUUAAUAGCUGUGAUAGGAGAAAACUGAGGAUGGAUCAACAACAUUGUACAUACUCCACAAUACUAACUUAAAUGACAGGGUGAAAAGGAGGCCUGUUUGCAACAAGUCACUAAAGUAAAACUGCAAAAAAUGUGGCAGUGAAAUUAACUUUUCUGUCCUGAAUACAAAGUGUUAUGUUUGGGACAAAUCCAACACAACACAUCACUGAGUACCACUUCAUAUUUUCAAGCAUGGUGGUGGCUGCAUCGUAUUAUGGGUAUGCUUGUCAUCAGCAAGGACUAGGGAGUUUUUUAGGAUACAAAUGAACUGAGUAGAGCUAAGCACAGGCAAAAUCCUAGAGGAAAACCUGGUUCGGUCUGCUUUUGAACAGACACUGGGAGACAAAUGUACAAAUGUACCUUUCAAUGGCCUAAAACACAAGGCCAAAUAUACACUUGCUUACCAAGACAACAUUGAAUGUUCCUGACUGGCCUAGUUACAGUUUUCAAAAAAGAUUUCAAAAAAUAUGUUUUAAUUUUGUAAUAAUGGGGUUUUGUGUAUAGAUGAGUUGAAAUAGAUGAAAAAAUGAUUUGAAUCCAUUUCGAGUUCAGGCUGUAACAAAAAGAUGUGCACACACUAACACGCUUGAUUUGAUUUGCUACAUACAAAAGAUGCACUAGGUUGUGUGUUGGCUUGUCCUGUACAAAUGUAAUCUGAGGGAAUUGAGACAGUUUGUUAUUAUAUUUUCCCAGCUUCAGUUUAAUUAACUGCUCUGCAUUAGUAGUAGUGGUAGUAGUAGACUAAGACAGUGGGUAUAACAGUUUACAUAUGUUAUUUUCAUCUUCCCUUUGACAUCUUCUGACAAAGCAAAAACAGGUUUAUGUGUAGAUUACUGAGGAUUUUUUUCUAUUUAAUCAAUUUUAGAAGUCUGUAACGUAACAAAAUUUGGAAAUAGUCAAUGGGUCUGAAUACUUUUCGAAGGCACUGUGUGUGUGUGGUCAUUCACCUGCCAAGGAUCCUGGGGGAUUUGAUGGACGUAUGAUACCGAAAAAAAGAAGAAAAAAAACAGUUUACUCACCAUGUGGACAUGCACAUGGUCUCACGUACGCACGCACAUGGACACACACAGCUAAGGGAGUUAAGUUGAAUUUGCAGUAAUCCACAUACACAAUGCUCCUCAAACAGAGGAGGCUGGUGGGAGGAGCUAUAGGACAGGCUCAUUGUAAUGGCAUUAAUGGAAGGGUAUCAAACAUAUGGAAACCAUGUUUGACUCCGUUCCAUUAAUUCCAUUCCAGACAUUACGAGCCUGUCCUCUUAUAGCUCCUCCCAUAAAAGUCCUCCGUUCUUAAAUCACUGUUGUCUUGAAUUCUAUUGCAUCUUUCCGAGGUGUAAGGGAACUGAAUUUCUCAAUCUGCUGUUUUAUUUUACUCAGUGUGACAGUAUAACAUGCAUGUUCAUAAAGUAAACGUGAUGAUGUCAGAAGAUAUCAAAGGGAAGAGGAAAAUCACUUAUAUGUAAGCUGUUAUACCCACUGUCUUAGUCUACUACUACCACUACAACUACCAUUACUACUAAUACAGAGCAGUUAAUAAAACUGAAGUUGGGAAAAUAUACAAUAGACCUUAUCAUGAAAUUCUUAUUUAUAAGCCCUUAACCAACAAUGUAGUUUCAAGAAAAAUAACAGGUAAGAAGCUGUUAAGAAGCCUUUUUGACCUAGACUUGGCGCUCUGGUACCGCUUGCCGUUUGGUAGCAGAGAGAACAGUCUAUGACUAGGGUGGCUGGAGUCUUUGGCCAUUUUUAGAGCCUUCCUCUGACACUGCCUGGUAUAAAGGUCCUCGAUGGCAGGAAGCUUGGCCCCAGUGAUGUACUGGGCCGUACUCACUACCCUCCUGUAGCACCUUUUUGAGGAUUUGUAUUUGUAUUUAUCAGGGAUCCCAAUUUGCUGCCUCCAAGGCAGCAGCCACUCCUUGGUUCCAAACACAUAAAAGCACUUACAUUACAUAUAAAACAAAAGAUAACAGUACACCAUAUACAUUAUUACACCACUACAUACAGUGGGGCAAAAAAGUAUUUAGUCAGCCACCAAUUGUGCAAGUUCUCCCACUUAAAAAGAUGAGAGAGGCCUGUAAUUUUCAUCAUAGGUACACUUCAACUAUGACAGACAAAAUGAGACAAAAAAAUCCAGAAAAUCACAUUGUAGGAUUUUUAAUUAAUUUAUUUGCAAAUUAUGGUGGAAAAUAAGUAUUUGGUCACCUACAAACAAGCAAGAUUUCUGGCUCUCACAGACCUGUAACUUCUUCUUUAAGAGGCUCCUCUGUCCUCUACUUGUUACCUGUAUUAAUGGCACCUGUUUGAACUUGUUAUCAGUAUAAAAGACACCUGUCCACAACCUCAAACA